rnacentral:rRNA from 1 species
CCUACGGGAGGCAGCAGUGAGGAAUAUUGGACAAUGGGCGCGAGCCUGAACCAGCCAAGUAGCGUGAAGGAUGACUGCCCUCCGGGUUGUAAACUUCUUCUACAAAGGAAUAAAGUUAGGCAUGUGUGCCUUUUUGUAUGUACUUUAAGAAUAAGGAUCGGCUAACUCCGUGCCAGCAGCCGCGGUACUACGUAGGAUCCGAGCGUUCUCCGGAUUUAUUGGGUUUAAAGGGAGCGUAGAGGGGUUGUUAAGUCAGUUGUGAAAGUUUGCGGCUCAACCGUAAAAUUGCAAUUGAUACUGGCAGUCUUGAGUACAGUUGAGGUAGGCGGAAUUCGUGGUGUAGCGGUGAAAUGCUUAGAUAACACGAAGAACUCCGAUUGCGAAGGCAGCUUACUAAACUGCCACUGACAUUGAUGCUCGAAAGUGUGGGUAUCAAACAGGAUUAGAUACCCUUGUAGUC